AGAGAGACAGAGCAUGAACGGGGGAGGGGCAGAGAGAGAGGGAGACACAGAAUCGGAAACAGGCUCCAGGCUCCGAGCCAUCGGCCCAGAGCCCGACGCGGGGCUCGAACUCGCGGACCGCGAGAUCGUGACCUGGCUGAAGUCGGACGCUUAACCGACUGCGCCACCCAGGCGCCCCUCACUUAAUUUUUUAAAACCAUAUUUAUGUUAAGGAAGCAAAAAGCAAGUACCUUUGUUUAUGCCGAGGGGUCCAAGAACAAAGACGCUGAUGGUGGCAGGGUGGGAAGGGGAGAGAUAUUGAUGGUGGGCUCGGGGAGAGAUGGAGGUCUGACCCGUUGGUCCCGUAGAUGCAGGGUCUGUGGCUUUAAGCUUCCCAAGAUGGGACAAAAAGGCUAAACCCAGGAGCCUGUCAAAAAAAAGGUUUCCGCUGUGUGCGCAGUGAGUGUGUAAAAUCGGGAAGAAACCACAUGCCCAGUGGAAAAUAAUGCUGAGCAGAUCUUGAUACAAGGCAGUGUGGUCUUGCUCCUCUGUUUACAGAGGAAUCCUUUCACGCAGGCAUGAUAAAUGGAGGAUUUAAACCACUGAGCUCCUCUAAGCUAACAGGCCAUUUGUCUCGAAGUUUCCAGGUUUCCAGGCUGUCUUCAAGGAGUACACCAUUGACUUUGAAAUUAGUUGUUAUGUGGAAAGAUACAUUCUAAGUCUCUAAAUUAUCAAGCUGCAGGAACUUGUCACUCCAGUGCUGUCCUGGAGUCCAGCUCUGUUCCGGCCCUCCCUUCUGUCCUGCGAGGUUGUCCUGUGGGUGAAUUCGGCUCUUUUCUGCUUCUAGAUGCUGGCACCUGCACUCCUCCUCCUUGCUUUUCUUGAGCAUCAGUAUUUCCAACUUCUAUUUUCUAGUUUUAUUUUGUUUGUUUGUUUGUUUCUAUGAUAUAGAGAACAUCUGAAUUUCCUUGAAGGGAAAAGGAGUUUUAGAAGAAGUGGAUGGUUUCUCAGAUUGCGCUCAAGGGUGUUUUCUUUAGUUUGUAGAUUUUUCAGGAGCGAAAACACUUUGGUUGAUGAUAUGUGUAUGUGCGCGUGUGAGAGAUCUACCACCACAGGAAAGAAAGGAUAUGUGUUACAUCUUUCUCUUUUAAAUUAAAGCAAGUUGUGAUCUUUUUAGAGGAUGUUUCAGAAUGUCCUUGAAGAGAUGUCCCAGGAUGGCAUCACCCAACCAGACCAAUUACUUUUCUGGAGGCGCUCAGGGAUGAAACUUUUUCUCCUUCCAGAAUACUUUCCUUCUAACCCGUGUCCUUAAUAAUUUAUCAUCUGCAUGACAAUGACCAGAGUUGUAGUUUCUAUGCAGAUUCCUGAGUUAUAUCCCAGACCCACUGAGUCUGAGCCUUGCGGGCUGUGAGCUGGGUACCUGCAUUAAAAAAAAUUUUUUUUAAAUGUUUAUUUAUUUUUGAGAGAGAGAGGGAGACAGAGUGUGAGCAGGGGAGGGGCAGAGAGAGGGGGAGACAGAAUCCAAAGCAGGCUCCAGGCUCUGAGCUGUCAGCACAGUUGUGGGGCUCGAACUCACCAAACACGAGAUCAUGAACUGAGCUGAAGUCGGUGGCCUCGGCUGAGCCUCCCAGGUGCCCCAGGAAUCUGCAUUUUUAAUGGGCAGCCCAGCUUUAGAACCCGUUCUCCUAGCAGAUCUCCCACUGAUUACAGAGCAUCUCCUGUCUGCCUCACUUGUAACAAAGCCACAGACCCUUCUGUCUCAGAUACAGGACUGGAGGGAGAGAAGAUGUCUCCCUACCUCUUCUUCCAAAGCUCUCUUGUGUGGCUGGGCCUCGUGUCUGCGGAUGAGAAGGUCAUGCGGGAAGGUCAGUGAACAAGGCUCAGGAACCACACAAGGAAUGGAGCACUGCGAUGUCGGGGCCUCUUCUGGUCCGGGACUACGGAACCAAACACCAUUUAGUUUUGUCACUCACUAGUCCUCGAAAACUUACUGAGUGCUUCCUUAAUAAAUAAACCAGGCGCCAUUCUUCAAUUUUUUGUCAGAUAUGAAAAAUGAAGCUGAGGUUUAAGUCCCAAAUUAUUCCCAAAUAGGCAGCACCAGCAAAAUAAUUAGGAGAUUUAAGACAGUCCUCUCCCUUUCUCUGAGUGUGUGUGUGGUGCCUUUGUGUCACACACAUGUGGGUUAGGGACUUUAGCUUAUGGUUUUCCAAACAUGUGUAUAGAAUUAAUUCACUUUAGUACUUCAUUCAUGCAUUUGUUUGUUCGCUUAGUAUGCGUCCACCCGUCCAUUCGCUCAACUAGUGUCUGUCAUAAGCCUGCUGUGCGUCAGUCUAGGCGCUACGGAUACGGUGAUGAACGAGACAAAGUUCUUGCCCUCAUGGAGUUUUUAUUUCAAGGCAGACAAUGCCCUCAUAUGCUUAUUACAUAAACAUUUUGCAAUUUAUGUUUCCAGUAGAGAUUGGCAGUUCGACAGACUGCAAAUUAGAAUGCAGGAGCCCUGCCCUUGCUUUCCUCUUCCUGGCUUGAAAGUUUUCUUUCAGGAAAGACACCUUCCCAGACGUUUCAUUACAUGUUUGAAGUAUUUAUUUAUACACAUACCUGGGGAAAAUGAACUCUAAAACUGUGAACUCUACAAGGCACGGAAGUCAAAAGGGUAAGUUGAGUUGUUCAUCUGUGGGUUUUGACUGGUUCCCACCAGGAAACCCCUUUCAAGAAAAACCUUUACCAGCCACACACUUCAAAGAGGUUCCCAGCACUGCCGUGUUUAAAACGUGUUAAUUGGACCUAACUGCAAACAGCUGCCUAGUUUAGCCACUGUUUGGAUUGGCAUUGACCCAUCUAGAUCUAGGUCAUUUUUUUUUGUUAUGUGCCAUUCAAAUUGGGAUCUUAAUACAUUUGUUUUAACCUCAGAAUGUGUUGCCAUCCAAAGGAUUGUGGAUAAUAAAUAAAAACACAGAGACAACAUAUUUGUCAAGCCCUGAGGUCACUGCCAAGUACAAAAGUACAUUUGAACAGAUGCCCUAUUUGAUAGACUGUGUGGGGUCAUGGUCCUCACUUAGAUAUACGGGGAAAUUUCCAAAACUAACAACAAAAUCCGUGGUGUUUGCUGGCUUUUGUAUGUGGGUGGAAGCAUUGAAUGAUCUUUUAUUGUCUGUUCUCUUCCACUUAACUGUUGCAUUUUAAUGCCACAUUGUAGGAAGGAGGAAAGAGUAAAUAUUUAUUAGUUUCUUAGGUGAAAUUGCUGCUGGAUCUCGUUUUACAGAAUGUUGAUGUUUUUCAAGAAGCACGUGUGGGGGCAGCUUAUUGGUUAAAUGUGAAGUGUGGUUUUCAAAAUGUUUAACAAGUGCGAAGGCAUGAGCACUGGGCGAUUAGAAGGCACAUUCACUGGGCAUAGUAACUGGCGUGGGCGUACUCAUGUUUUUGUGUAGCAACCAAAGGAAUUAGUAUCUAGCAAGUUACCACCAAGAGCAACUAUAUUGUGACCCUGCUGGGAUUCAGUAUAGACUGUGCACCCUGGAGUUAUCUUCCGCAGGAGUGACAGAGCUGGGACAUUUAAGUUCCCAUCCGAUGUUGGUUGAAGGCUGCAUCUUGGACAUUAAUUCUACGGCACUUCUGUCCUGCCAUUCAAGUGGCCAAGCAUGGCUUCCCCUUUUUCCAGAAGAGGAAAUGAGGACUGGAGAUGUUGAAUAACCUACCCAAGGACAAGCAGGAAAAUGUGGAAUUCAAACACUCCACUCAUUGGACAGAGGAAAGGGUCAGUUGAGGUGACGGAUGAUAGAUAUUCUGGGAAGAGGAAGAGCCGGACUGUGGAGAAAGAGCUGGGGCUGCUGUCUGGCCCGGACAGGCUUCUCCACAUCCGGCAGCUCUAGUCUACAGAGGGGACCACGUGCUGCCUGGAGCUCCGUCUUGACAUCUCGGCGAUUACUCUCUCCUGGGUGCAGGUAAUGGCCAACAGGUGUGCCUCUUAGGGAAUCACCAGUAGAUCCAGGAUGGUGAGAGCUUAUUUAAUAUGCUGACAUAUUGGGCAGCGACGGGAAGGAUUCCGCAUUCACACUGAGGCUCAUUGAACAAGAGUGAUGUGAGUGCCAUGAGGAGCCCCAACUGACGGACUUACCAAGGCGUUGCCACCGUGGGGACUCCCAGGCUGGAGAUCACAUGGGAAACGUAGCUGGACCUCAGGAGGUGUAUGGCUUCUGUGAGGACCGGAGUAGAGCUCAGGCAGCAGGGCCCUGCAAGGAUGGCCCAUAGCAGACCCUACCAGCCACCGACUUCAGCAUGCAGGCCUUCCAGGGAGGACCCGGAGGAUGGCACAGGGACCUGCGCGUAUGAAUCAUGUGGGUCGAGGACCUCCGUCCCCUUUCAUGCCAGCACCAGGGAGGAUCCUUUUCUCUCCUCUGCUUUACCACCAUCUAGCAUCCAGAGUCACCUAAUUCAAGAGCCCAACUAAGUCAUCCCAGAGUGUGAGGUGACCUGCAGGACAAGUAGGUGCCCAUCACUGCAGAGCCACACAUGCACCUGGACCAGGAACCAGAGAAGCUGGAGGAGACCCAGUGGGUAGUGGAGAUGCUGUGGGCCCAGCCAGUGUCCACAGCACCCAGAAAUUCCCUGAUUCCUCUGCCUUCAUUUCCUUGAGGAUACGGAUGAAUAGCUUGGGACUGAUGUUUACCUGCUAUUUGGGAAAGCUUGUUGGGUCAGUUCCCCUGAGUGGUCAUGAGACAGUGCCCAGCUUAGCAUGUGUGUCCCUGAAGUACAUUUGUCAUCAGAAAGGGAAUUCCUCUUUAUUGCAAAUGAAAUGUGAUUGCUUGUCAGGUUGUGCCUUGAGCAUUCAGAAGAAAUGUUACAUUAAUUGGUUAAAAUAUCAGAAUGCAACAGUUCUUAAUGUACUCCACCAUGUCCUGAAGCACUGUCAGAAUAUGAAAUCGACUGGGUGAAUUUCCUCUUGAGUGACAGCUAUAAGUAUCUGCAAAAUGGACUUCUAAAUUUUCAGUGGUUGCCAAAUCAAGAUACUUCUGUAAGAAGAGACCCAGGUUCAAGAUUAAUGGGUAAAAAUGACUUUGAUGGUGAUGAUAAAGAAAUAAUAGUAAUUAACAUUUGUGGAAUGUUAUUUACAUGUAUUACUACACUUAGUUCUCAGAACAACCCAAUGAAGAAGGUGCUAUAAUAAUCCUCAUUUUACUGGUGAGGAAGUUGGAGCUUAGAAAGCUUAAUAAACUUGUCCAAGGUGACACAGCUAGUGAAUUCCAGAAAUGAGAUUCAAACCAGUCAUUCUGACUCUAGAAACUAUUUUAUUUACUGUCUCCUUAUAUUUCCAGGUUUAGUUCAUAUUUCUUUCCUCCGUCUCCCCUCCCUCCCUCUUUUUCUUCUUCCCUCUCUGCAGACUUCAUUCUUUUCCAUUUGUUCAUUUUCUUUAUAUUUUUUAAAUCUCCAAACAUUGAAUAAGUACACGCUCUGUGCUGGGCAUGAUGUUAAGAGGCAGGAAUUCAAAGAUGAGCAAGACUCAGAUCAUACUUGCAAGAAACUUGCAGGGAAAUUCUGACAGGAGAAAAGCAGACCUGAAAGGAAAUGGUGCUAAAAAUACCACCAAGAUGUGAAGGACAGACUGACAGCCAGAGUCUUCAGAAUGAGACGGUGCAAAGCUGGAGAAGGUGAAAAUAACACUUGGUCCGUGAUCACUCCCGGAAUGAUAAUGAUCUGCUUGUAUGUGUCUACAGGGUGUGUGCACACAGGAAAUGAGAUGGUUGGGCAGAGUUCUUCAGAUUAAUCUGCCAGAAAGAUUAAGGGGGACAGGGAGGGGAGAAAAGAUGAUUGAUUGCAAUUCCUAAAUAGAUUUUUUUUUUUUUUGGGUAGACUUUACAUGCCAUUUCAAACUCUGAGCCUGCUCAUGAAAAUCAAGGGAAGAUGUACUUGUUUGAACUAUUUUUAAAUGUUUACUUUGUUUUUAAUAUCAACUGAAUGACAUGGAUUAUUUAAAAUGCACACUACCCAAGGAUCUAAAGAAACUCCUAUGAAAUCGUAUGGUCUCUGGUGGAAGAAUACGAUGUGUUUCUUCUGAAAUUUUAUUCCAUUUCUCUCAAAGGACCAGAAUUUAAGUAGAAUUGAGUUUAAGACUAUAUUCCUGGGAUUCGUGAGUUCGAGCCCCACAUCAGGCUCUGUGCUGACAGCUCAGAGCCUAGAGCCUGCUUCAGAUUCUGUGUCCCCCUCUCUCUCUGCCCCACCCCUGCUUGUGCUCUCUCUCUGUCUUUCAAAAAUGAAUAAACAUUAAAAAAAAGACUAUAUUCCUGAGAGAUACUGCAAGAUCCAGGAAAGUCAAGCAUGUAAAACAGUUUCUGAAUUAUUAAAAAUGGUCAUGAAAUCAUCUUAAGAUCCCGACCCUGCAAAACCUUACCCUUUCUGUUUGGAUAUCCAGUUUUCUUAAAAUGAUUUGUUCUGA